UUUUUCAGAUUUUAUUUCUCUCAUUUCUCUUUCUCUCUCCCGUGAGUCUCUCUCUCUCCCCGACCCCGUCGCUCUCCCUUCCUCCCUCUGCAACUCAGGCCACCGGCCACGGCAGCGCACGAGACCGGACUCGAUCGAACCGCCACCUCCUCCUCUCUCUUCCCCGGCCAGCACCGCACCUGGAGUCGUCGACAGCCGCCGGAAAUCGCAGAAAACAGGCCGGAAAAUCGUGGAACUUCAACACCUUCGUUCUCCUUCGUUUCUCAACCAAAUUGGACGAGUGAGGUGAUCCGACUCCGCCUUCACAGCAGGCAGGACCCUCUCAGGGUCACGCAGCUUGGGACUACUUCCAGUAGUGACUGGAACGAGCCGCAGUGCCGUAUUUUGUGCUUCUGUUUUCACGAGCUUCAGCACUUGAGCCUUCUCAGGGCCUCUGUGCUAUGGCAUAGGCAGGUUCAAGCUUGGUGGAGUUGAUGAUUCAUGGGUGGAAUGUCAUUGAGUUGAUGUGGUUGUGGUUUAGGCAACUUGUGGUCUUGGUGACAGAUUUGUGGGUCUUUUGUGUGCAACUAUGCUGUUUUGUGCGGUGGCGGUGUCUCUUCUCACUUUUGGCCUUGAUGGUGCAAUCCUAGUCCUCUUGGAAACGGUGACGACUUUUAUUUGCUUAGGCUAGGGUUUACGAGAGCUUUGGGUGUGAACUGGGUUGUGUGCUUAUUUUAGGGCUCUGAUUGUAUUUGAGGUGGGCCAUUGGAUUAUGUUUGUUGUAUUGUCUAGAGCUUUUUUUCGUUGUGUUGGGUUCACGAACUCUAUUCUAGACUUGGUUUAAGUUUAGAUAUUCCUUCCUAGUUGUGUUA